AGUGGCGGACGGGUGAGUAACACGCAAGAAUUUGCCUUUAGGAGGGGGACAACAACUGGAAACGGUUGCUAAUACCCCAUAUGCUUUCGAGUGAAAUGGAUUUUUCCGCCUAAAGAGAAGCUUGCGGCUGAUUAGCUUGUUGGUGAGGUAAUGGCUCACCAAGGCGACGAUCAGUAUUUGGUUUGAGAGGAUGAUCAGACACACUGGAACUGAGACACGGUCCAGACUCCUACGGGAGGCAGCAGUGGGGAAUUUUCCGCAAUGGGCGAAAGCCUGACGGAGCAAUCUCGCGUGAGGGAUGACGGCCUAUGGGUUGUAAACCUCUUUUUUCAGGGAGGAACAAAAUGACGUGUACCUGAAGAAUAAGCAUCGGCUAACUCCGUGCCAGCAGCCGCGGUAAGACGGAGGAUGCAAGUGUUAUCCGGAAUCACUGGGCGUAAAGCGUCUGUAGGUGGUUUAAUAAGUCAACUGUUAAAUCUUGAAGCUCAACUUCAAAAUCGCAGUCGAAACUAUUAGACUAGAGUAUAGUAGGGGUAAAGGGAAUUUCCAGUGGAGCGGUGAAAUGCGUAGAUAUUGGAAAGAACACCGAUGGCGAAGGCACUUUACUGGGCUAUUACUGACACUCAGAGACGAAAGCUAGGGUAGCAAAUGGGAUUAGAUACCCCAGUAGUCCUAGCCGUAAACAAUGGAUACUAGAUGU
rnacentral:rRNA from 1 species